GUGUGGCACGGCGGAAUGGAAUUGAGGUGAUUUUCCAGCGGAAGUGAUUUCUGUGGCACCCCUGUAUAUUUGACAGCCCUGUAAGGGCCAACUUUAUACAAAAAUACUAAGUUCGAAUAAACACGAUCCUGUUUUAUAUGGAUAAAAAAACUGACAAACCUUUUCUGUUACUCUGAAUAUUUAUUAUAUAAGUAUGUGAGUUAAAGUAGGUUGUGCUAUUGUAAUUAUUUGUGAUAAGGGUUUUUCCUCACUUACACUCAUCGAGUCACACAGUAUACAACGAUCUGGAAAAAUCACAAUAAAUUCGAAACUUUUCAAAAUCUGAACUGAAAAAACCUGAGAUCAUGCCACAGCGACGAAGCGCUCGCAUAACGGAUCAGCGUGCUGAUGAUACUCGCACCCGUACCGCUGCACAGCGUCCUUCUACCCGUCGUGCUACCCGUGCUGCGCGCUCUGCGCUACAAUUUCUAACAUUUCUGGGAAUAAUAUGUCCAACUGAGUAUGUCCUCCCUCAUAGGGCGUGUCAGAAGGGCCAAGAAUGGUGGCCAACCAGUGGUGUGUAUCGUCCUCAACUAUCUCCACCUGGCAACCGUCCGCUGGAUUGAACAUCAUUUCGUUCAUCUCGCGGCUAAGACGGAUUGCGUUGGCAGGAAAACUAGAACUGGAUAGAGGCUGUUGCUCCUGACCCUGUGCCCCGUUCUGUGUCCUACUACUUGGCCUGCCCUGGGGUAGAGUCUGUGAAACAACUGUGGCGAUAUUUUGCAGUUCAGUAUCGAAUGCAGUCUCUCGCCGAAGUAUUUGUCGAACUUCAGGGGCAGCACGCUGUGCAGAUAGGAGCCAGGGAGUGGACCACACGUUACGCUACUCCCGAGGCAUUUUAAAUUAUACUUUAUUUAUACAUAAUACACAGUAAUACAACCCCAUGUACCCACAUUCAUUCCCAGAUACAUAUAUGUAUACAUAUACAUCUGUAUACAGAUAAAUAUAAACAUGCUCA